UCUCAUUGAGGCUGGAACUUGCUGAUUGAAUUAGACCAGCCACCAGAAACCCCUGGGGAUCCUCCCAUCUCUCCUGGAACACAGGGUUGAAGAGCACUCCUGAGCUGGGAGGAGAAGGUGUAGGUCACAGGAGAUGCCUUGGUGAAGGAGAGAGAUUUUUAGAGAGGAACACAGACAUGAGAGGAGGAGGAAUGAGAUGCUUUUCUAGCAAUAUCAAAGGCCAUAUCAUCCCACCAGUUUUGAAAUGGAGACACAACACUAUGUAUUAGCCCUAUAUUAGAAUUUAUAUUCCAUAAUGGAGAAUGGAGGAAAAGUGAAGUAACCAAGGGAAGAAUGUGAAGGUAUA